AGAGUUUGAUCCUGGCUCAGGAUGAACGCUAGCUACAGGCUUAACACAUGCAAGUCGAGGGGAAACGACAUCGAAAGCUUGCUUUUGAUGGGCGUCGACCGGCGCACGGGUGAGUAACGCGUAUCCAACCUGCCCACCACUUGGGAAUAACCUUGCGAAAGUAAGACUAAUACCCAAUGACGUCUCUAGAAGACAUCUGAAGGAGAUUAAAGAUUUAUCGGUGAUGGAUGGGGAUGCGUCUGAUUAGCUUGUUGGCGGGGUAACGGCCCACCAAGGCGACGAUCAGUAGGGGUUCUGAGAGGAAGGUCCCCCACAUUGGAACUGAGACACGGUCCAAACUCCUACGGGAGGCAGCAGUGAGGAAUAUUGGUCAAUGGACGAGAGUCUGAACCAGCCAAGUAGCGUGCAGGAUGACGGCCCUAUGGGUUGUAAACUGCUUUUAUAAGGGAAUAAAGUGAGUCUCGUGAGACUUUUUGCAUGUACCUUAUGAAUAAGGACCGGCUAAUUCCGUGCCAGCAGCCGCGGUAAUACGGAAGGUCCGGGCGUUAUCCGGAUUUAUUGGGUUUAAAGGGAGCGUAGGCCGGAGAUUAAGCGUGUUGUGAAAUGUAGACGCUCAACGUCUGCACUGCAGCGCGAACUGGUUUCCUUGAGUACGCACAAAGUGGGCGGAAUUCGUGGUGUAGCGGUGAAAUGCUUAGAUAUCACGAAGAACUCCGAUUGCGAAGGCAGCUCACUGGAGCGCAACUGACGCUGAAGCUCGAAAGUGCGGGUAUCGAACAGGAUUAGAUACCCUGGUAGUCCGCACGGUAAACGAUGGAUGCCCGCUGUUGGUCUGAAUAGGUCAGCGGCCAAGCGAAAGCAUUAAGCAUCCCACCUGGGGAGUACGCCGGCAACGGUGAAACUCAAAGGAAUUGACGG
rnacentral:rRNA from 1 species